CUAACAUGUGUUGUUGUGUUCUGACUUUUUGCCUUUUUUCUUUUCUCUAACAUUUCAGUUUCAAGCUGCUCUUCCAACCAAACUCCAUAACCAAUCCAAGUCGAGCCCAUCUGAAGGCUCUGUGGCGUACAUUGCCUUGCCUUUUGGGAUGUCUGGACAAAGUCCCAUGGCCCACUAACUCUUCCAAGGAGACAGACUUGGACGGCGUCCAGCUAAAGUAUGGACCAGAUCAUCUGCAGCCCGAGCCACGCCAAAGCCCCCACCGCCCCCAAAUUAAAGCUGACACAUUCAAUCUCGUCAACGUGCUUUAACCCCACCGCUCUCCAUUCAGUGCAGAGAGGAGUGGCACUGAGAAUCUGCCAGCUUGCCGGAGCUAAUUACAGAGCAGACAGCAAACUGCAAGGUGGGAUGUGGUGAGGAAUGCUCGCUAUCGUAAUGAAUGCAAUGCCGGAUUUGGGAGGCAAGUGAUGGAGUCCCACCCUGUCUGAUUUGGGUCCCGCUUUUUCUCAAAAUUCCUGACAUUUAUUGGCCCAUCCUUAUUCAAUCUGUAAAGAGCGUAAUGUUUUCCAUGUGCUACCUUCACGAUCCUGCAGCGGAGGAAGACAUGUUUCCAAAUGUUUCAUGGUGAGCAUUUGUCUCCAGUGAAAGCGGUUUCUUCUCUCGGUUUCCAACAUCCACCUCACAGAACAAUAUAACAUCCACCGGAGAACGCACCCUGCCAUGUAGAAAAAAAAAACAUAAAAUAGUCCCUGCUUGAGGCUGAGGAGGGAUUUAAAGGUUAA